AACUAGCAGAUAAAUAACUGGGUGAACUGCUAAGAACUUUAAGGGGUUAGGUUCCUGGCCCAACCAGAAUGUCUUUCUUCCCUUUCUUUCCCUUUUGCCUUGAUUUUCCAUCCUUUGAUCUCCUUUCUUUUUCUCUUUUGUUGCUCCCUUUUUUGUUGUUUUUUCUUUGCCUUGGAUGCUCCUAGAACCCACCUUCCUGCAACCCCUUCCUUCUGCCUGGGUUGCCCAUGUGGCUGUUCUCCUUGGUAUUUCAUUGCUGCAAGCAUUUGCUUUACUCUCCCUCCCACAUCACAAACUCCUGGAGGACGGCAUCUCUGUCUUCUCCCCACUCCUAGCACAGUGAGCAGUGUGUACCUGAUUAAUUAGCCUAAGUCAGAGGUCCUCAAAUUUUAACAUGCAUGAGAAUCUCCUGGAUUGCUGGGCUCCACCCCCAGAACUUCGGAUUCGUAACCACAGGUUGGCAAACAGCAUGAUCCUUCCUUAUACGGGACCAUGAUAUCUCCAGACACAUCCCUGCGCCUCGCAAAAAUCGCUGAGUGAGAGGAGAAUGCCAAACGCUAGGACCAUGGUUUGAGCCGGGAUUCACGGAAGCCUGGAGUUCUGUGCAAGGGCACAAGAGCUGCUGUGUCUGUGGGGCAGAGGAGCCACUAGAAAGAUGUCUGGAAUCACCCACAGAAGUUCCUUGUUAUCUAUUUGAGGGACGUGUGGAGCCCUUCCCUCAUCUUGCCAUCCCUUGAGUUCUGAAGUCUGAGCCUCUCUACACCUGCAUGUUCCUUGGGACAUCAUCUCCAUGGGAAGAAACAGAAUCUGCUCCCCAUUUGUGAAAGCACAGAUGUCAUCUGAAUGGUCAUGUGGCUCUAUGCGGCUGCUGGAUGGGCUGGUACGGAGGGUCUGAGAUGGCUUCAUCACACAUCUGGUGCCUUGGCAGGGAUGGCCGGAAGGCUGGGCUCUGCUGGACAGUCAACUGGCGAACCACACAUGGCCUCUCCAACAUGGCAGCCUCAGGGAGUCAGGUUUCUUAUAUGGGGCAUGUGGCUCCUGGAAAGAAUGUUCCAGAAAAUACAGAAGAAAAAUAAGGACCCACAGGGAGGAAGCGAAUGUCGGGCUGCUGUGUAACACCAAGUGAGGGGCGAGCUCGAUGCUUCUCGCUCUGC